UACACUCCUGCGGGAGGCAGCAGUGGGGAAUUUUGGACAAUGGGCGAAAGCCUGAUCCAGCCAUGCCGCGUGCAGGAUGAAGGCCUUCGGGUUGUAAACUGCUUUUGUACGGAACGAAACGGCCUUUUCUAAUAAAGAGGGCUAAUGACGGUACCGUAAGAAUAAGCACCGGCUAACUACGUGCCAGCAGCCGCGGUAAUACGUAGGGUGCAAGCGUUAAUCGGAAUUACUGGGCGUAAAGCGUGCGCAGGCGGUUAUGUAAGACAGUUGUGAAAUCCCCGGGCUCAACCUGGGAACUGCAUCUGUGACUGCAUAGCUAGAGUACGGUAGAGGGGGAUGGAAUUCCGCGUGUAGCAGUGAAAUGCGUAGAUAUGCGGAGGAACACCGAUGGCGAAGGCAAUCCCCUGGACCUGUACUGACGCUCAUGCACGAAAGCGUGGGGAGCAAACAGGAUUAGAAACCCUGGUAGUCCCAUG
rnacentral:rRNA from 1 species